UAUAGGUCGCUAACUCCGUUCUCUAUUCUGAAAAUAAAAAGUGAAUUUUCCAUUUCCUAUUUUGUACAAAUGGCCACUUGUCUACCUAACUUAAGCUCGCGCAAACAAGUUGAGGAUAUAGAAUAACGAAGUCGAGCGAGAACAAGUGUGAUUUUCCACGAUUACGUCUUUCGUCAAGAUUUAGUACCUAAGCGUAAAGUAGUUUAAGCAGCGUAAAGUAGUAAUCAGCUAUAAUGGAAUUCACGUGCUAAGUAAGGGCUGUUUUACUCUGUGCAUGGGCUCUUCCAAUCAACCGACAUGUUCGGCCUAUAGAUUCAUCAAUUCUACCAGCUAUUGUUAGCAUGACAUUUAAAUAGGUGAUCUGAUUGGGCCCAACGUUUCGAUUUGUAAGGUGGCUGAGCAAAUUUCAACGCCUAAGAAAUAGCUCGUCUAGCGCGAUGGGAAACUUAACCGAGAUGACCCUGGCCUUGUGACCCGGUGGCACGAGCAGUCUAAACAGUCUAAAGUACUAGUAACUGAAAAGUUAGAGGAACAGUUUUCGAAAAGAUGCUGUUUCAGAUCUUCAAAGCAAUGAAGUACACAAACUUCGCAGAACUAUAUCCUCGGACAAGCCAUAGUGUUGGGCUGUCAAGCACUGACUUGAAGGAGUAAUGGAAAUUAUAUAUCCGAACGAAAGGAAAAAGCGGAGGCGUUAAGCAAUACGCGAGAAAAAUAAGCUUAACACGGCGAACAACUAUCCAUCACAAGAUCUAGCUAGCAUUGCUACAAACGGGUGCAAUCUGAUCGCCGCAAGCCGAUGAUAAGGUGACCUAGCCAUCAGCUGGUGACAGCAAGAAGGGUUUCGCGAUUGGGUGCCGUGCACCAUGGGUAGCACCACUGCGAAACAGACAGAACGAG